rnacentral:rRNA from 1 species
AUUGAACGCUGGCGGCAUGCCUUACACAUGCAAGUCGAACGGCAGCACGGGUGCUUGCACCUGGUGGCGAGUGGCGAACGGGUGAGUAAUACAUCGGAACAUGUCCUGUAGUGGGGGAUAGCCCGGCGAAAGCCGGAUUAAUACCGCAUACGAUCUACGGAUGAAAGCGGGGGACCUUCGGGCCUCGCGCUAUAGGGUUGGCCGAUGCCUGAUUAGCUAGUUGGUGGGGUAAAGGCCUACCAAGGCGACGAUCAGUAGCUGGUCUGAGAGGACGACCAGCCACACUGGGACUGAGACACGGCCCAGACUCCUACGGGAGGCAGCAGUGGGGAAUUUUGGACAAUGGGCGAAAGCCUGAUCCAGCAAUGCCGCGUGUGUGAAGAAGGCCUUCGGGUUGUAAAGCACUUUUGUCCGGAAAGAAAACCUUGGCCCUAAUACGGUCGGGGGAUGACGGUACCGGAAGAAUAAGCACCGGCUAACUACGUG